rnacentral:lncRNA from 1 species
GGUAAGGGGGGAGAAGGUGGGGUAGUGACACUUACCUGGUGGUUACCUGGGGGUGCCGGCGAUUAGAUAUUAGAAACUCAAUGUUCAAAAUGAAGCAAAAUAUUCAUGGGUCUGAUCCUUACCUUCGCCGAUGGGAGAGAAGGAAUUAAGUAUUGAGGGUUUGGACGAGAGAAAAUACGAUCGUCGAUGGCUGGUGUCGGCGAAGGAUCUAUUUUGCUCUGUAUUGGUGAUUGGAUAGUACGCUAAGGCCCCUCUCUACCUCUGCUUCACAGUACGGAUAUCAGUCCUUUCGUUCUACCUCUUUCUUCUUUUUCUUUUUGGUUAUAUGUUGUAAAGAC